AGUUCUUCAGUGGCGAGCUUUA
rnacentral:ncRNA from 2 species